rnacentral:rRNA from 1 species
AUUGAACGCUGGCGGCAGGCCUAACACAUGCAAGUCGAACGAGUGGCGGACGGGUGAGUAAUGUCUGGGAAACUGCCCGAUGGAGGGGGAUAACUACUGGAAACGGUAGCUAAUACCGCAUACCAUCGGAUGUGCCCCGCUGGGAUUAGCUAGUAGGUGGGGUAACGGCUCACCUAGGCGACGAUCCCUAGCUGGUCUGAGAGGAUGACCAGCGACACUGGAACUGAGACACGGUCCAGACUCCUACGGGAGGCAGCAGUGGGGAAUAUUGCACAAUGGGGGCAAGCCUGAUGCAGCAAUGCCGCGGGUAUGAAGAAGGCCUUCGGGUUGUAAAGUAAUUUCAGCGAGGAGGCGGGAAUCGAAGAAGAAGCACCGGCUAACUCCGUGCCAGCAGCCGCGGUAAUUG